AAUGUAUCACCGUGUCUGGGACCUGGAGUCCCACGGUGGUAUAAACAACACAGGGCUCUGUACAAAUACCCAGAAAAGGAAAAAAGGCAAUAUAUUUCGGAGAAGAAAGGACAUGGGUGACUGAAAUCAUUAAGGAGACAAAUAUAACAUUAUUUUCAUAUUUCUGUUUAUCCUGGAAAUACAGACCUCACAGGGUUUUGAAAAGACAGAAGAAAGGGAGAACUUUGAAACAUUAUACUCAGGCAAGCUUUUUGAAAUCUCUGAACUAUUCUAUGAUUGUUUUUCCCUUUCCAUUUUUGGAAGAAAAUGUGGCUCUGGAUACCCUCUUGCAGUUGCACACAUGGAUGAUUAGGAUAAAUAUCUGGCUUUUUGUCUCCUAUUUUUACAACUCUUUCAAAUACCACGAGGAAAGAGGUAGUUAUUGAAACAAGUAUUACCAGUGUGGGCACACAUAAGCUGAUAUUUGGAAGCGGGACCACUCUCACGGUUGAACCAAACAUCCAAAAAACUUCUGUCCCACAAGUCAUUUUGAUGAAAUCAAAGAAACUGGAUGAAGAUGGCAGCACUGGGAAAGCAGCUUGUUUGGCAAGGAAUGUCUUUACAAGGAACAUCAGCUUGGACAUGUCCUCUAAUGAAGUCGUAUAUGAACCAAGUGCACCCAUUCUGACAUCAGAGGGGUUGUACAAUACUAUUAAGGUGGUCAACGUAACAAAAGGUGAAGAGGUGACCUGCAUGGCCAAGUUCAACGGCAGCACCAUCACAGCCAGCACAAGCUUGCCAGAAAAGGAUGCUGAAGACCCAGAAAUGGGGAAGGUUUGCAGCACCACAGACACCUCUGCACAAGGUUAGUUAUCUAAAUAGAUUGUGAAGUUCCAUUACUAUGCUGAGAAUAAAUGCAUGGAAAUGUAUUUUCUCAGGGGUAGAGGAAUCAGAAUACAACAUACUCAUCAAAAACAACC
rnacentral:lncRNA from 1 species